rnacentral:lncRNA from 1 species
CCCGGGUUCACGCCAUCUUGCCACUAAACCUGAUUUACCAACAUAACCUGUUUCUGGCCAUGCUGUGAAUCUGCAUUCUUUACUGUGUCCUUGGGAUACUAGGUCUCUGAUCAAGUGCCACAUCUUUAGAGAAGCUUUUCCAAACAACCGAUUAUGAAGUACACAUUAACAAUGAAGCCUCUUUUCAAGUAAAGAAGCCUUCAAGCUCCAGAUAAUCCUCAGUGAGGUAUACUGUCCGCUCAAUAUCCAAGAGUCACCCUUCUACAAGGGACCUCUAGACUGCCCAUAAGUGAGACAUGACAGAGGUAAAGUCAUGCUCCUGUCUCCCUUGGACCUGGCUGGAAACUGCAUUCAUCAACCCAUGGAACCACCCCCCUGCCAUGAAAGCUAGCAAGAGGCCAAGACCCACAGAACAACCACCAUCAUCCCUCUGUCAGCAGGAAGCGGUUACAAAAGACUAACCUUUGCCCAUUUUCCCCAAAGAAUUGGGGUCUUGGAAUCUUGAGGGAGGAAAUGUUACAGUAGGUAGCUAGUCAGACAUGAGCAGAGCAGAAGAGGGCUUACACACACACACACACACACACACACACACACCCCACACACAAAGAAUCCUGGGCAACCAUCAGGCGAUUGUAAGGUGGUUGUUAACUGUGUCUCUAAAAUAACGAUUGGUCACAACCAGUGCAAUGGAAAGGCAGUCUCUCAAUAAACAGAAACACCUGGAGCUGAUGAUCAGCAGCUUCCUGAUCAGGUCUCAGAAGUUUGGCAAGCUGGCCUACACAUGCGCACUAAGAGGCAAAAUGGCACAGUUUAACUGGUAUAUGACUUCCAAUGGACAUUCAGCAUGUAAGGGAAAAAUGCCUCAAGUAAGCAUGCAUACAACUCCACUAAACACACUGUGCAUGCUCCCCUCUCAAGUGCUGGCAGGCCAGUGCACAUGGGGACAGCCCACCCCAAAGAAAGUCUCAAGGGUGUAGGGAUGCAAGACCCCGGGAAUAUGCCAAUGUAUUAAACCCUAAGUCAAAAGGUCAAAUCAUGCACUUGUCUUUCAAGUCACCCACUUGACCCUCUUCCAAGUGUACUUUCCUUCCUUUUGUUACUACUCUAAAGCUUUUUAAUAAAUUUUCACUUUUUGAAUUCUUGUCUGCAACUUAGACUAACCUUGCUUGUUUCUCUGAACCAACCAGUGAUCUCUGGCUCGACUCAGAAGCAACAAAUAGAUGGGUAAUGUAAAAAUAUGGAUUAAUAUUCUAAUUCUGGGGGUACAAAUCUAAAAUUUGCUUCAGUCUCUCCUUCUACCUAUGCCCCUCAGUUAAAUUCUUUCUUCUGAGGAGGCUAGAAUUGAGGUUGCUGCAGACCUGUACCGAUUCACCACCAGUAGCAGGUACUAGAAAGAUUAAGGAGAGGAACAUUCUGGUUAUGAAGGUCCAAUUCUCUUACCAUAUGUUCCAAGUUGUUUUUUUGUUUUGUUUUGUUUUAAUUCUCUGUAGUCCUGGGAACUGCCUCACUCUCAUAUUUGAGUUCUGGGAUAUUGUUGGUGAUAGUCUCUGCAGUGUAUAUUGGUUUUUAUAUUUUGUGGAGGGGGAGUGAAGCCAGUUUGCUUCUAUGCUGCCAUUUUGAAACCCUGCCACAAGUCAUUUAUUCCUGUUGUUGGAAAAUAUUCCAUUGAUUAGGUGUAAUACCAUUUGUUUAUCCAUUCACCUAUUGGGAAAGAUCUUAUUUGCUUCAAGUUUUGGCAAUUGUAAAUAAAACUGCUAUAAAUCUGUGCAGGUUUUUGUGCAGAUAGAAGUUUUCAUCUCAUUUGUGUAAAUGCCAUAGAGUGCAGUUGCUGGAUUGUAUGGUUAGUAAAUUAGUCUAUUUUUAUGCUGCUGAUAAAGACAUACAAGAGACUGGCUAACUUAUAAAGAAGCAGAGGUUUAAUGGACUCACAGUUCCGUGUGGCUGGGGAGGCCUCACAACCAUGGUGGAAAGGGAAAGACAUGUCUUAUAUGGCUGCGGGCAAAAGAGAAUGAGAGCCAAUGAAAGGGGUUUCCCCCUAUAAAACCAUCAGAUCUCAUAAGACUUAUUCACUACCUCGAGAACAGUAUGGGGGAAACUACCCCCAUCAUUCAAUUAUCUCCCACUGGGCCCCUCCACAACAUGUGGAAAUUAUGAGAGCUACAAUUCAAGAUGAGAUUUGGUGGGGACACAGCCAAUCAUAUUAGUAAGAAUAUGCUUACUUCUGUAAAAAGCUGCCAAACUCUCUUCUAAAUUGGCUGUAACUGUUUGCAUUUUCAUUAGUAAUGAAUGAGAGUUUCUGUUGUUCCACAUCCUCUCCAGCAUUUGGUGUAAGCAUUUAGAAUUUUAGACAUUCUACUAGGUGUAUCAUGGUAUCUCCUCGUUGUUUUAAUUUAUAAUUUCCUGAUGACAAAUGAUGUUGAGCAUAUUUUAUAUCAUAUAUAUGUACACACACACACAUUCUUUGGUCAGAUGUCUGUUCAGGUUUUCAGCCCAUAUUUUAAUUGGGUUGUUGCUUUGUUCAGUUUAAAGAGUUAUUCAUACAUUUUAGAGCUCAGUCCUUUAUCAGAUAUGUAUUUUGCAAAGAUUUUCUUCCAAUCUGUGGCUUGUAUUUUCAUUCUCCCAACAGUGUCUUUCACAGAGCAGAAGUUUUUAUUUUUAAUAAAGUACACCUAAUCAAUAUUUUCUUUCAUGUAUUGUGCUUCUGGUGUUGCAUCUAGAAAGUCAUCACCAAACCUAAGGUCACCUAGACUUUCUCCCAUAGUAUCUUCUAUUAGUUUUAUAGUUUUUAGCUUUAAAUUUAGGUUUAUGAUUCAUUUUAAAUUAAUUAUUUUUGAAAUGUUUAAGAUCUGUGUAUAGAAUCUUUUUUGCAUAUGAAUAUCCAGUUGUUCCAGCACCAUUUGUUGAGGAUUGCUUUUUCUUCCUGGAAUUAUCAUUGCUCCUUUGUCACAGAGCAGUUGACUGUGUGGAUCUACACACAAAUUUAAGCCAACAGCUGUUGCAGUUCUAUGUUUAUAAUAAUGUUUAAAUUUUGAAUCCAACUAUUAAUAUGAAUUUUAAGCCACUUCUCUGUCUCUUUUGAUUUGAAUGUGGAGGGUGUCAUUUACUUCAGAAGGUAUGUAAAAGAGAUGUGCAACUUAGAAAAAUCAAAAUAAAUUUUAGCAUAAAUAUUCAACACAGAAUGGAAACAGAAUUUUACUCAUGUAGCUAAAUAUGGAGCCCCUAUCUGACUAUAUUAGAAUAUAUAAUUGUUAACAUUAUUUGCCAAGUCAAAAAUAAAGACAUUUGGGAAAUUUUUCCUUUAAGUGCAUUAUUUGUAUUAAAAUAAAGUGAUUGAUAUGCAUGGUGUGAAAUUUAUGUUAAUUAGUAUGAGGCUAAUGAUUGAAAUUUUAAUACUAUUAAAUGUUUUUUCAGAAUAUAAACAUUUAACAAAUCAAUAAAGCAUAAUUAUUGCAGUAAGAGAGUUCACUUCUAGAUCUGACCAUUAUCACCUUUAUAACCCCAUCUU